rnacentral:rRNA from 1 species
ACGCUCGACACCUACGGGAGGUAGCAGUGGGGAAUAUUGCACAAUGGGGGAAACCCUGAUGCAGCGACGCCGCGUGAGCGAAGAAGUAUUUCGGUAUGUAAAGCUCUAUCAGCAGGGAAGAAACUGACGGUACCUGACUAAGAAGCACCGGCUAAAUACGUGCCCGCAGCCGCGGUAAUCUGAGCGGGCUGGCAAGGC